UAAAAUACUAUGAAUUGGUAGAGUAAGCUAUAAAGUGUAUUACAGAGAGGGUUCUAUGGUGAAAAGAACCUAUACAAAUAUAGCCCAAGUGCACCAAGGAGUUUAAAGUCGAAGAAAAGUAGACUUAUAGGGUUGUUCCCCUUAUAGAACUAAGGUAGAUAUACCUUAAUGAGCUGGGAGUUUCUCCUAAGCAGAGUGGAACCGCGAAAAAACCUUUUGCCUCUGUA
rnacentral:ncRNA from 1 species